rnacentral:tRNA from 1 species
GGGGGUGGAUGGGUCCCGGUGGGCUCCCCGGUCUUCAAAACCGGUGACGGGUGCUCGAAGCGGCCGUGGUGGGUUCGACUCCCACCCACUCCCG